rnacentral:rRNA from 1 species
CCUACGGGAGGCAGCAGUGAGGAAUAUUGGUCAAUGGGCGAGAGCCUGAACCAGCCAAGUCGCGUGAGGGAGUACUGCCCUAUGGGUUGUAAACCUCUUUUGCCGGGGAGCAAAAGCCGGACGUGUCCGGCUGUGAGAGUACCCGCAGAAAAAGCAUCGGCUAACUCCGUGCCAGCAGCCGCGGUAAUACGGAGGAUGCGAGCGUUAUCCGGUUGUAUGGGGUUAAAAGGGGGCGGAGGCGGAUUUUUAAGUCAGCGGGAAAAUCGUGGGGCUCAACCCCAUCCAGCCGUUGAAACUGGGGAUCUAGAGUGUGCGAGAGGUAUGCGGAAUGCGUGGUGUAGCGGUGAAAUGCAUAGAUAUCACGCAGAACCACGAUUGCGAAGGCAGCAUAUCGGUGCACAACUGACGCUCAGGCACGAAAGCGUGGGUAUCGAACAGGAUUAGAUACCCUGGUAGUC